AGUGAACGCUGGCGAUAGGCCUAACACAUGCAAGUCGAACGGCAGCACAGUAAGAGCUUGCUCUUACGGGUGGCGAGUGGCGGGCGGGUGAGGAAUACAUCGGAAUCUACUUUUUCGUGGGGGAUAACGUAGGGAAACUUACGCUAAUACCGCAUACGACCUACGGGUGAAAGCAGGGGAUCUUCGGACCUUGCGCGAUUGAAUGAGCCGAUGUCGGAUUAGCUAGUUGGCGGGGUAAAGGCCCACCAAGGCGACGAUCCGUAGCUGGUCUGAGAGGAUGAUCAGCCACACUGGAACUGAGACACGGUCCAGACUCCUACGGGAGGCAGCAGUGGGGAAUAUUGGACAAUGGGCGCAAGCCUGAUCCAGCCAUACCGCGUGGGUGAAGAAGGCCUUCGGGCUGUAAAGCCCUUUUGUUGGGAAAGAAAAGCAGCAGGUUAAUACCCCGCUGUUCUGACGGUACCCAAAGAAUAAGCACCGGCUAACUUCGUG
rnacentral:rRNA from 1 species